rnacentral:lncRNA from 1 species
UAAUUUAAAGACCAUAAAUAAUUAAAAAUUAAGAAACAACACAAAAGAAGGAAAGCAGUUCAGUGGUAUUUCCAUCUUCUUCAUCACCUCUGCCAACCUCCUCCNCACUUGCCGGCCAUCACAGGGCGGCAAUUUUCCUCCCGUUUUCUCAAUAGACGACAAUAGACUACCACACACACCAGGAACUCAAAACCGCAAAACCACCUCAACAUCUUGUCUUCUGGCAAUCGUCGUUUCGCAGUAAUAACACAAUUCUUGUUGAAUUUUUACACUGCAGAGUGACAAUCUGAUACUAAUAAUAGUCGUGCAAUUUAGGAGAAUGAAAUUAUGACAGUG